AAGAAGAGUCUUUCAACUGGGUGUGUUCACCAAACUAAAGCGUACACAGUAGCUACUAUACAUGCAUCUGUCUAGUGGUUCGAAUGGAUUCUCCACCCUUUAACUUUUACCUUUCACUAUGUUUUCAUGUUGUAGGGUUGUGUUAUGGAAAAGGUUUGUUACCAGCAGAUUCCAUGGUCGGGGAGGUUUCACACAAUGUGACAUUCACAAUUGUUAAUCCACCAAGCACACCAUUUAGGGUAGUAGCCUGGACAACUAAUGGUACUAAUGUAAUAACCAGUGGUGGCAGCGGGGCUGACGAUAUAGGGACUGGAUAUGUAGGAAGAAUCACUUUGAACUCUACUACUGGAUCUCUGGAACUCAGGAAUCUAGUCCUGAGUGACACAGGAGAAUAUGUAGUCACUAUAUUAGCAGUUGGACAACCAAAGGAAGGGACUGCUACAUUGAGGGUGUAUGCGCCAGUCUCCAAGAUGACAAUAACUGCCAACAACAUAGACUUAGUGGAGUUCAACAGCUCUGUCAGUCUGUCCUGCUCCUCCUCUGGCACCUCCCUCUCUUACCGCUGGCUGAAUGGCAGCUCAGAGUUCACAGCCAGUGAUGGAGUUCAGCUUGAUGAUGGAAACAGCACUCUCACCAUAGUCAGAGUGACCCGGUAUGACCAGGGGCCGUUCUGGUGUAUUGUCUCCAACCCCAUCAACAGUGACAAUGAGAGUAUAACCCUCACCAUCAGCUAUGGUCCAGAAAACAUAACAUUGAAGGUGACCCCUCUAGAUGUACUGUAUGGAUCAGGGUCAGACCUCACUCUGUCCUGCUCAUCUGAGUCCAGUCCUCCUGCCCAGUUUCAGUGGGCUCUGAAUGGAGAACUGCUGUCCAAUCAGGGACCAGUACUCAGGCUGGAGAAAAUCCAGGCCAAUCAGAGUGGUAGGUACAGCUGCUGGGCCCAUAAUACCAGAACCCUGAGGUACCAGACAUCUGAGCCCUCUGACAUCACUGUGCUGGAAAGAAUAUCUAGUGCUAAACUCACAAUUUCCCCAAACCCUCCAAUCAUCGAAGGGGGUUCUGUCACCUUAACCUGUGAUGCUUCUGGCUCCAUCAGCAACAGAGACUGGAGGAAGGAUGGUCAGCCUCUGUCUCCUAGUGAAAGAAUCAUCUUCUCUGAGGAUAAUAAGACCGUUUCUAUCAGUCCUUUGAAUUUAACAGAUUCUGGAAUAUUCCUGUGUCAUCUCGCCAACCUUCUCAGCAAUGAGAAUGCAUCUUACAAUCUCACUGUUAAUUUGAAGGGAUCAACACAAGGUGGACCGAAUGUUGGUGCCAUCGUUGGUGGUAGUUUGGGUGCAGUAGCUGUGGUUGCAGUGACAGCGAUAGGUGUGGUGGCAGCUAUGAAAAAGGGCUGCUUCAAGAAAAUAACUUCCGGUGGAAGUACAGUUAGCAACAUUCCCAGCUGUGUAAAUACUUAACGUCCUCUGUCUGUUUGGGAAAACAAACCUAUCUCUCUGCUCCUGAUUAUCAUAAUCUUCUACAGACACAAAACAAACGAACUAACCAUCAUGCCUGUAAUCUAAGGCAAUGCUUUGAUUGAAGGUCAGGUGAAAGCUCUACUAAUGGAGGGGGGAAAGGAGGAAACCAGGAGCUGAACUAUGCAGACAUCACGCAAUUCCAGAAGAGGGAUGGUGGGUCAGUUCAGCUGGGGAACCUGGGUAUUUCCUCCACAGAGUACGCUACGGUCAGAGUCAACAACAGGCCCGGUCAGCCGACCUAACCCACCUACCAGGCCCACCAAUCCCAGUACACCCAGGUGAAAAAACCUGCCCAUAAGCCUGCCCCUGAUGCUGCAUCCACCGUCUACUCAGACGUCCGAAGGAACUGACCAACCCUCCCUGUCAAUCAUCUGGACCAGUUGGGGUCAGUCAGGGUGACUAGGCCUGUUCAGACAUGGUCAGUGAAGCCCCACAACCUUCUCUGUGUCAAUGUGCCAACCAAACGUUUUCUAAUAAUGUAUCCCUUAUUAGGCCUGGAGAUCCCUGGACAAACAAUAAUGUCAGUUGACCCCUUAGCUAUUAUCAUUACAUUGGGUGCUAAUCUGUUUUAAAAUGCAUACUCAACUAAUAGUAAUGAUAAUGUCCUAAUAGCUCAUCAGAUCGUGAUGGAUAGUGAAUAUAUUGAUAUACACAAAUAAUACAGCUACAUACACAAUGUGCCAUUAAAGAUAGUCUCUCUAAAUGCUCUUUUCAGUUCUCAUACAUACAGUACUGUUGAAGUAACUGUACUAUACGACAAAUAGUGAAAAUCUUUAGCAUGCAUCCCAUGAUUUAUUAGAACAGCAACACAGAGGAACACCAGUUCUCAGGGUGACAUGGGUACCUUAUCCCUGGUCAUUUGCAUGUAUGGUGUACAUGAUACCUUAUGUACUGUUAGAUAUGAAAUAGCCCUGUGUGCAGUAUGUGUACAUGAUAAAUACUGUUUGCUUUGUUUAUUAGCAAUAGAUGGCUCUCUCACUGUUGAUUUGUUUGUCUGAGUGUACAGUGUGUGCAUUCAAUAAUUAUUUGGAUCAAUAAUUUCCCUAUGGCUAUUUGAUUAUUAAAACACCCAGCCAUGCAUGGGAAGUUUUUAAACACCACACUACCCAUUUAGCUUUAAUAACAAAGCUGUAUUUAUUAUUUGGGACAUUUUCUACAGUGAUGCUUGUACCUCAAACCUAUUUCAAUAACAUAUUACUAUAUUUUAAAUUAUUCAACUAAUGUACAAUAUGAGAAAGUAGGCUUGAUUUACAGUAAGAUACUUGUACUUCUAGUUCCGACCGUGUAGCAAUAUUAACAAAUAAUCUAACAAUUACACAACAACUACCUACUAUAUUUGUAUGUUUAAAUUAUUAAAUUAAUGUACAAUGUGUGAGAAAGCAGGCUUGAUUUACAGUAAGAUACAUUUAUUAAUCUUUAUGGUUUAUUGUGGUUCCAAGCAUUUUUGUUAUUUGUGAAUCCACGUAUAUUUGAGUCAUUAUGUAUUUUGCAGCAAAAACAGAAGUGUCUGUAUGCUUAAGAAUGGUUUAUUUAAUGUCAAAUGUACUGUACAUGAUUUAGUUCCAUAUCUACUACCAAACCAAACAUUCCAGUUUAUCUACUACCAAACCAAUCAUAGAGUUAUGUAAGAACACAGGGGAAGGCACAGCGUGGGUAAUUGCUAUACUCCAACAUCAAAGGCCCUCUCGGUCAACCCUCUCAAUACACUUAGUAAUUCCUUUGUACUCAUAUGAAUCCAUUGGUUCCUAUGAUGUCAAUUUGGGCUUGUCAUUGAAGUUUUAUCAUUCUGACCUGUAUACUGCUACUGUACAUACUGCACAUGAUUAUUGUCAUAAUGAAUUGUAGACUUGUCUGCCUUUAAAAAAAGAGGAAUGCAACUAUUUGUUUUGAAAUAAUUGCACUUUUAUGGAAGAAUUUACAUUUUGAUGCCAAUAAAUUAUAUUUGCUGUAACAUG